CUUGUUUAAAAAAAAAAAAAUAAGGAUUGUGUCCGUUUUUUUCCAAUUCUCUUUUCUGUGGUGAGAUAAGAAGGGACAAAGUAAAAGAUGCGUAAACACAGGCAUGUUCCGAUCAAAAACCAUAUUUCAUAUAUAUCAUAUCAUCUAUAAUCAAGCUCAAUAAUCUUUUUGACGAUGCAAUACUGGACAAUGCGUUCUCCCACGAUAAAUGCAAUAUUAAUUUCAUAAUGAAAUCGAGUGCAUAGCACUAGAGCUCCGUCCCGUGUGUUUUGCUUUUUUUUUCUUCUUUUUUCCCUCUUGUAUAUCAAAGUGACCCCUUGAUUUAACUGUCCGACCUUUUCUAACGUAUGCCGCAUUGAUCUUGAACAUUAGAAACAGUUUUUCAGUUUUUGCUUUGAAAUUUAUUCCGUGCAUUGCGUCGUUUUCAAAGGAACAAGCCUUAGGGCUUUUGGAUUGAGAGUUGUCUCAUUGGCACUCAUACCACAUCUUCCUAUAUCUAUUUACACAAACAUACCUGUUUGUUUCUAGGACAAACUUCUUCAUUAAAAUCCAUUGUAAAAAUCAGCAUAAAAUAUGCAAUGGGUCUGGAAUUUCGUGGCGGCAUUCUUUUAGGUCCAACAUUUUGAUCAAAUUCUGUGUGAUCCCGAAUUUCAGGAGGAUAUACUCGAAACCAGGGAUUAGGAUCAGCCAUUAUUCGAAAGAUGCGUUAAUGGAUGACGUCAUAAGAUCAAUAACGUCAUUUAUUGAAUAUCGUACUUUUUGGCGUAUUUUUCAUUAUUUUUUUUUGC
rnacentral:lncRNA from 1 species